GUGGCACCACCAGCAGAGGCUGCCCGCCAACAGCCUGUCCUUUCUUCUUUUUGUUAUUUUUAGUAUGUGUUACAAAGUGUGUUUUAAUGUUCCUUGUUUAAGAAAGAACUGCAGAUGCUGG